CCUACUUUGGGAGAAUGAAGUAAAAUUGGCCUGAUACACAGAAGAUUAGCAUAGAGCCUGCAUAUGAAUAACACAUGUUUUUGGGCAUUCUGUUGUUUUUUU
ensembl:snRNA U6 U6 spliceosomal RNA